GCGUGAGUGAUGAAGGCCCUAGGGUUGUAAAGCUCUUUCACCCACGAGGAUAAUGACGGUAGUGGGAGAAGAAGCCCCGGCUAACUUCGUGCCAGCAGCCGCGGUAAUACGAAGGGGGCUAGCGUUGUUCGGAAUCACUGGGCGUAAAGCGCACGUAGGCGGACUGAUCAGUCAGGGGUGAAAUCCCGGGGCUUAACCUCGGAACUGCCUUUGAUACUGUCAGUCUUGAGGCCGAGAGAGGUGAGUGGAACUCCGAGUGUAGAGGUGAAAUUCGU
rnacentral:rRNA from 1 species